GUCGGACCGGGAUGAGACCGGGGCCUACCUCAUUGACCGUGACCCCACCUACUUCGGGCCCAUCCUGAACUUCCUCCGGCAUGGCAAGCUGGUGCUGGACAAGGACAUGGCUGAGGAGGGGGUCCUGGAGGAAGCCGAGUUCUACAACAUCGGCCCGCUGAUCCGCAUCAUCAAAGACCGGAUGGAAGAGAAGGACUACACGGUCACCCAGGUCCCACCCAAGCACGUGUACCGCGUGCUGCAGUGCCAGGAGGAGGAGCUCACGCAAAUGGUCUCCACCAUGUCUGAUGGCUGGCGCUUCGAGCAGCUGGUGAACAUCGGCUCCUCCUACAACUACGGCAGCGAGGACCAGGCAGAGUUCCUGUGUGUGGUGUCCAAGGAGCUCCACAGCACCCCAAACGGGCUGAGCUCAGAGUCCAGCCGCAAAACCAAGCACGGAGGAGCAGCUGGAGGAGCAGCAGCAGCAGGAGGAGGAGGUGGAGGAGGUGGAGGUGGAACAGGUGCAGGUGGAGGCAGAUGCACAGGAGAAAGGUUCCCGUCCGCACCCUCUCAGACCUGAGGCUGAGCUUGCAGUGAGGGCUUCUCCUCGGCCCCUCGCCCGCCCCCAGAGCUGCCAUCCCUGCUGUUACAAGCCAGAGGCACCCGGAUGUGAGGCCCCAGAUCACCUCCAGGGACUUGGGGUUCCCAUCUGAAAUCCUUUAUUUUUGUACCAUGGGGUGGGCCCCGGGCCUGAGAAGGAAGAAGCACCCUCUCCCCGGCCUCCUCUGUCUGCACCCGUGGGGCUGUGACUUACUCCUGCCUCCAGGGGCGGGGCGGGGCCCCCCUGGGACCUCUUAAGGCCCAAGGUGGGCCCCAGGACCUCUGGGCAGAGUGGACUGCUCAUGGCAGAUGUGUGGCAAUGUCUGGCUGUGUCUCUCCGGCACCUGCGUCCCCUCUCCCGGGCUCCCCUGCUGCAUGGUGGAUGUGCUCCUUCCUGGCCCGGUCACAUUGCCUCCUUGAGCCUUAGUCCAGGGGGUCACUCCUCCCACCCCACCUACCUCACAGGGUUGUUGUGAGGGUGCACAGAGGAGCAAAGUCCCUGAAGGCCCUCAGGCAGUAUAUAGGGGCCGCCCACCUUCAGCUGCCCUGGGAUGGGAAGGACCCAGCCCGACCCCUGGGCAUAACACUGUGUUUGCAAAUGGAGAUUCAGGUAUUGGGGAUGCAGGUUGUGGGGAGCUGGCCUGGCAGAGUAGGGGUAGUUGGCUUGGCCUUCUCUUUGGUGAUCCCACCCCCAGCCAUUUGCAUUGCUGGCCCAGCGCCUGGCCUGGGGGGCGGGGAGAGGCAGCAGAAGGGGCUGGGCAGGGGCGGUGGAGGACUCAGGAACUGCCCGGGGAGAGUGGGUAUGGCGGCUGAGCCAGGGGCCCUCCUGUGUUUGACUUCCCGGGAUGGGUCCUUGCUUCUCAGCUGUGUCCGACCCCACCAUGUAAUAAAACCCAAAGGAACAGCC
rnacentral:lncRNA from 1 species